UACAUAGGGGGCAAGCGUUAUCCGGAUUUACUGGGUGUAAAGGGAGCGUAGACGGCGAAGAAAGUCUGAAGUGAAAGCCCGCGGCUCAACCGUGGAAUGGCUUUGGAAACUUUUUUGCUGGAGUACCGGAGAGGUAAGCGGAAUUCCUAGUGUAGCGGUGAAAUGCGUAGAUAUUAGGAGGAACACCAGUGGCGAAGGCGGCUUACUGGACGGUAACUGACGUUGAGGCUCGAAAGCGUGGGGAGCAAACAGG
rnacentral:rRNA from 1 species